CUUUUUCGUUGACCCUCUGUUCAGGUUUUGAUUUACUUUCAAAUCUCUUGUCAUAGAUUCUUGGAAAACCUUUAUUUUGGGGGUGGGGGGUUGGGGUACAGGCUGUGGGAGAAAGGAUGUGCAGACAGAGGGCUGUCCGUGAAGGGAGAUAUUAAUAUCUGUCCCGUGACUGUGGCCAGACAGUCUGCUUCUCUUAUUUCCCCAUAAGGUUCUGAGCUAUUUUCUGACCAAGGGUGUUAAAGCUUAGAAUUAAUGGGUUUCGGCAAAGUAGAUGCCAUCGUUCCAGAGAAAGGCUGCUGCUUAACUUGUUCGAGAUGGGUCUCAGAUCACGCUUGAUAAAGCAAGGAAGUAGUGAGAAGAAAGGCCGCCAAGGGAUGGCCAAGAAGGUCCUUUGGGUUUCUUCCAUCCGGACAAGUGGUCAGAAGCGAAAAAGGCUCCAGCGCCCGGCCCUGUGUUCCCACGGAACGCUCGACAUUCUACUUACUGAUUAUCCCAGUUGCCUUGGCUUCGAGUACACACAGCUUGUCUUGUUGCCACGAACCUUGGAACACCACAACCUACCUGUGCCAAAGUACAAUGGAAACAUCAUAGUCAGGGAGUUUGGAAACCUGGAUUGAGUUUUGGCUCCGAAACUGUCUGAAUGCCAGUAUACUCCCUUUUCUACUGGAGAUGGAAGCUGCUCCCUGCGUACCUCAUCAGUGUGCUGGGAGUGGUGAAUGAGAUUGUGCAUCUAAAAGCUACCCAAACAUCAGAAGGGGGAUAGGACAGAGCCACAAGCCCUCUAACCCAAGAAUUUGGACGGGUACGAUAUUUGGGGGCAGUGACAGAAAGGUAAUGAAAAUGAAAAUCACCCCCUGCCUCGAAGUUAGUAGACCUGACUCAUGAAGAUGAAACUUCUUUCAAGAGGAUAUUUGCCAAGUGGAGCCGCGCAAAGGAAAGUAUUCUGUCCAAUCUGCCCAGCGUGGGCUCCAGACUGCUGAGCUUUGGGGAGGCUCAUUUAUCAGAGGAAAACAACAACGAGUUUCUUGGUCUAGUGACCUUCACUUGUACAGGUGGUAGCCUUUAAUCUUGGCCCAGAUCCAGUUGGGAUCAUUCCAUUCAGCUUCUUGUUAUCCUAGCGUCAACGUCGUUGGGAACAUCGUCCUUCCCUUCCUGUCUUGGAAAUUUCCACCAUUAGGAGAAUAUCUGACUAUAUUUGUGUGUGUGCGGGCUGGAUUUUCUCUGUUUCAUAAUGAGGACAUUUUUCUUGUGAGACCAACUUCCAAGGAGCUUAUUCUUAGAAGCUAGCCCCAAGACCUUUUCUCACUAACCAGGUAAAUUAGAGAAUGAGAGACCAUAAUCGCCGUUUGGAAAGUCAUGGUCAGUGGCAAAGGAUCACUAGCGGCCAGGCAGAUAACGUCGAUGUGUGCAGUGGCCAGUGGGUUUAAGACAAGUGGGAAGGAUAAGCGCUGGAGUGUACAUUCCACAUCUAAACUCAUCCACCUUUCUGGAAAGCAAAACAUUGCUCACAAGUGUUCCUUAUUCUCCACACCCCUGCCAGCACCUGUUAGCUCAUGUCUUCCUGAUGAGAGCCAUUCUAACAGGUGUGAGAUGAUACCUCGUUGUGGUUUUGAUUUG
ensembl:lncRNA